rnacentral:rRNA from 1 species
UAGGGAAUCUUCGGCAAUGGACGAAAGUCUGACCGAGCAACGCCGCGUGAGUGAAGAAGGUCUUCGGAUCGUAAAACUCUGUUGUUAGAGAAGAACAAGGACGUUAGUAACUGAACGUCCCCUGACGGUAUCUAACCAGAAAGCCACGGCUAACUACGUGCCAGCAGCCGCGGUAAUACGUAGGUGGCAAGCGUUGUCCGGAUUUAUUGGGCGUAAAGCGAGCGCAGGCGGUUUCUUAAGUCUGAUGUGAAAGCCCCCGGCUCAACCGGGGAGGGUCAUUGGAAACUGGGUGACUUGAGUGCAGAAGAGGAGAGUGGAAUUCCAUGUGUAGCGGUGAAAUGCGUAGAUAUAUGGAGGAACACCAGUGGCGAAGGCGGCUCUCUGGUCUGUAACUGACGCUGAGGCGCGAAAGCGUGGGGAGCAAACAGG